rnacentral:rRNA from 1 species
CCUACGGGAGACAGCAGUGGGGCAUAUUGCACAAUGGGGGAAACCCUGAUGCAGCGACGCCGCGUGAGUGAAGAAGUAAUUCGUUACGUAAAGCUCUAUCAGCAGGGAAGAAACACUGACCUUACGGUCAGCAGACGGUACCUGAGUAAGAAGCCCCGGCUAACUACGUGCCAGCAGCCGCGGUAAUACGUAGGGGGCAAGCGUGAUCCGGCUUUACUGGGUGUAAAGGGAGCGUAGACGGUGCGCCAAGUCUGGAGUGAAAUGCCGCGGCUUAACUGCGGAACUGCUUUGGAAACUGGCGAACUAGAGUGCGGGAGGGGUAAGCAGAAUUCCUAGUGUAGCGGUGAAAUGCGUAGAUAUUAGGAGGAACACCGGUGGCGAAGGCGGCUUACUGGACCGUAACUGACGUUGAGGCUCGAAAGCGUGGGGAGCAAACAGGAUUAGAUACCCUAGUAGUC